ACACACACACACACACACACACACACACACACACACACCCCUUCAUCGCUCCUGGUUGUCUAGUGAGGCCGAGUCCUUCCAAAGGUGUGACACUGACAUGAUGUGGGGCUUUUUGUCAGCCCUGCUCACCAACCAGUUAACCAUCUGUGCAUUGUAUUUUGCACUUACAAUUGCUUUUAUUAUUAUUAUUUUUAUUUUUUUUAUUUUUAAACUGUUUUAAUUUUUUUUUCAAAUGCUGUCUGAAAAACUUAAAGGACACCCACUACAGCUCUCGCAGUAAUGUUACAAGUUGAAGUGAGCGUUUGAAAUGCAUGCCAGUAUGUUGUCUGCCUGCGCUGUGGGGUGCAGCAGAGUUUUGGGGGGGGUCACUAAAGUAGACUGUGUGUGGUGUUAAACUGUCGGGGGGGCCGACAGCAAUAGGUCCCUUAGUUACCCAGGCAGUGGCAGGCUACUAACCCCACACCUCACAACUGCUGAGGAAAAAGUAACACAAAAACACCCCACACACAAAAUAAAUUGUGCAGCAUGAGAUUGUGAAGGGACCCGGGGAUAUGGGAGGGGUUUUGAUGUUUUUUCUGCCUCUCUCUGAUGACUGUGGCGCUUUUCUUAAACGGCAUCCUUUUUAUCGUAAUGUGUGUAUGUCACGUCUGAGCCUGGCGACGACACGGGGUCACUAACAGGUUUGGAAACUUUUGACACCAGCCACCAGGCCGAAUGCUGGGAUAUCUUGGCAGGUGCUGGUACAUCUUUGUACACUACUUCCACACUGCCCCCGUUCACCAGGUAUUAACAGGAAGGGAAGAGCCGUUGUCCCGAGAGCAGUCGAGAGACUGGAGCACAUUCCAUUCCGUAAAGAGGACAGGCAGGUAUUUUUUUUUUGCGAGCGGAUGCUCCUGCCAAUUAUUUAUGAAGGGAGAGUUGAGUUUGAGACGAGCCGAGUCACCCUGAAACACUGGCUUUGACUUUUCAGUAAGGAACACACGGAGACAUGGAAUGAAUGGUUUCCUCCCACUGUUCACAUGGAAAGCUCUAAAAUGUUUAAAAAAACAGAAUUUCUCUCCUUUGCCUUGCCUUUAUAGCUAUUUAUUGUUUCUGCAAAAAUGUUAAUGUAAAUAGUUUUCAGAAAGAUCUCUAUGUCUAUCAACAAAUGUAUUUAUUAGAUAUGCUGAAUAUAUAGAAGAAAAUAUAGAAAUAUAUUUAAUUAGUCAUAGCCUACGUUCUUCUUGUGAGGUUUAUUGAGAGUUUACAAUGUGUAGUUUGUUUGCACAGCCUAGUUAAUCCAUAGAGUCAUUUAGAAAUGUCUCCGGUGCCUCGAGGCUUUUUGUGUCUGUUCAGAAUUCGGCACAGCGCUCCUAAAAACUUUCUUUGUGGUUGAUCAUACUUUUUAGCUGUUUUUUUUUUUUCUUUUCUCAAAGCCGUCUUGCCCUUUUAACGCAGGAAUAAAAGGAAGAAAAAAAAAAACAAAAAACCUGAAUAAUUUAUAUAAAAAAAAUUAGAAUUAAAAAGUAUAAAAGUGAGAGGAGUUGGUGGCCAGGUUGAAGGUGGGGAUGAUUCCUAUGGCAACGCUGUGUUGCCUGUUCGCCACAUCUCCGUGCCUACGAACUGCAAAAAAAACAAAAACAAAAUGGCUGCUCUGCCUCGUGAGGUUUUUGGCGCUUUGUUUUUGGUUCAGAAAUCAGAAAAAGUUUUUUUUUUUCUGAAUGUAGACGACAUCCUAAACCCUGCAGUGUAGCAGCGCAGUGCCAAAGGAACUUCCCUUGCUCCUGCAUCCACCAUUCGCAAAUCUCAGUUAAAGCAUGAAGAUGAAUCAGAAGGAAAAAAAAAAAAUGCUUAGUAUUUUGAGUGUGGAAUGCUGCUCUUUUUUUUCUUGUCAAAUUGAAACCUUUUCAAAUGGAGAGGAACUGUGUAGCCACGUUAUUAGGGGGACUAAAGGGGAAUUGUAAUGAAAAUGUAGGUGAGUGUGGGCAGUUGUGUUUAUAAAAUGCCAUCUGUGUGUGUGUGUGUGUGUGUGUGUGUGUGUGUGUGUGUGUGUGUCAAUGGUCACAUGCAACUAUUGCUCCUCACCUCACCUUUUCCUCAUCUCUAAAAAAAAAA